rnacentral:lncRNA from 1 species
UUUGAUCCCAGUAUAUCCCUGUCCAUCCCAGUUUGUUCCAGUAUAUCCCAGUCCAUCCCAGUUCCUCCCAGUUUGAUCCCAGUCCAUCCCAGUAUAUCCCAGUAUAACCCAAUCCCCUCCCAGUCCCUCCCAGUCCCUCCCAGUUUGAUCCCAGUCCCUCCCAGUCCAUCCCAGUUUGAUCCCAGUCCAUCCCAGUUUGUCCCAGUCCCUCCCAGUCCAUCCCAGUAUAACGCAAUCCCCUCCCAGUCCAUCCCAGUCCCUCCCAGUCCAUCCCAGUAUAACCCAAUCCCCUCCCAGUCCAUCCCAGUAUAUCCCAGUUUGAUCCCAGUAUAUCCCAGUAUGUCCCAGUCCGUACCAGCGUCCCACUCCAGCAGACUGGGAUCCUCCCAGCUGCUCCCGGCCGCCGUGCGGAUGCAGCGCUUCAGCCGCUCGCCCCGCCCCUUCCGCUUGUCCUCGGCCGCAGGCUCCGCCCCCACCUGGCAAACAGCUGUCAGUCACCCCCGGGGACACGCCCACCCCACCCAGGACACGCCCACCAUGGUCGGGACAAGCCCACCCAGAAGAAAAGGCUGAAAUUUGGAAGCCCCGCCCCUUUUUCAGGACACUCAAUCUAUCUUGGUGGACAGCUGUCAAUCAACAGGACACGCCCACUCCAUCAUGGACAUGCCCACUCUGGCCACGCCCAAAUUCAGCCAAAUUGGAAGGCUCCACCCACUUUUGGAAAGUCCCACCCCAUCUUCAUGGACAGCUGUCAAUCACCUGGACACGCCCACCCUGAAGAAAACCCUUAAAUUUGGAAGCUCCGCCCCCUCAUGGACAGCUCACCCUAUCCCGAUUGACAGCUGUCAAUCAUAUCAGAGACAUCCACCUGCUAUAGACACGCCCACACGCAUCUGGCCACGCCCACCCAUGAGGAAAUGACACCAACCCCUCCAGACGCUCCGCCCCUUUCCUCGCAGCCGCACCCACUUUCUGAUGGACAGCUGUCAAUCACUGGGGUACAUAUAAGGACCCGCCCAUCUUUCUUAACCAUGCCCAUUUCUCCUCUUUUGCCACACCCACUAAUCCCCUGAGGCCACGCCCCCUUACCCACAGCCCCGCCCCCUUAAAAUCUGUCAAUCAUUUCUUUAGGCCACACCCCCUUCCCUUUAGUCCCACCCACUCCAAGCACUUAAACCCCGCCCCCUUAGGCUCCACCCCCUCAUGUUCAGCCCCACUCAGGCCCCGCCCCCUUUAAGCCCCGCCCACCUCAGGCACAGGGAAGGGCGGGUCCUGUGGGCGUGGCCUGCGCAAUGGGCGUGGCACCGGUGCGAUGUGAGCGGGGCCAGGGCGCGGCUCCGGAGGGGGCGUGGCCAUGGCGGGGGGCGGAGCCGGCAGGCUGGGACCAAUCCGAGGCUCCUCUGGAGGCGGGGCCCGAGGGGGCGGGGUCUCCUCCUGUGGGGGUGGGAAAAGGGUUAAAAGG